AUGGAGGCCAUGGAGGGAAGAACACUCUCUCAAGUUCUUUCUCUCACGUGAUCUUCAAAGCACCAUAACUUUUGAUCUAGAGCUCCGAUUGCCGCUCCGUUUGCGGCCACGCGAUCACCGCAGAGAGCUCUACAAAACCCAUACAAUCAAUCUUGAGGACCCAACUCUCUUGAAGGAGAAGGUUAAUCUUGUCUCCUUGGACCUUGGGCGUGGUUGUGUAUAUGUGAAUAUUGGAGCUUGAUUGGUGAUUUUGAAAAGUUUGGAAAGGGUUUGGUGGUGAAAAAUCUAUUCUUGGAGGUGUUGAGGCCUUGAGAGCUUGAGGAAAAGUGGUUUGGAAGUGCUCCGGUUGAGCUUGGGAAAAUCG